AUACGUAGGUGACAAGCGUUAUCCGGAUUUACUGGGCGUAAAGGGCGUGUAGGCGGUCUUGCAAGUCAGAAGUGAAAUUCCUGAGCUCAACUCGGGCGCUGCUUCUGAAACUGCAGGACUUGAGUGCUGGAGGGGAUAGCGGAAUUCCUAGUGGAGCGGUAAAAUGCGCAGAUAUUAGGAAGAACACCGGUGGCGAAGGCGGCUAUCUGGACAUUAACUGACGCUGAGGCGCGAAAGCGGUGGGAUCAAACAGAAUUAGAUCCCCUGGUAUUCCACGCCGUAAACGAUGAAUACUAGGUGUAGGGGGUAUCGACUCCCUCUGUGCCGCAGUUAACACAAUAAGUAUUCCGCCUGGGGAGUACGGCCGCAAGGUUGAAACUCAAAUGAAUUGACGGGG
rnacentral:rRNA from 1 species